rnacentral:rRNA from 1 species
UACGAAGGUCCCAAGCGUUGUUCGGAAUCACUGGGCGUAAAGGGAGCGUAGGCGGCGUGGUAAGUCAGAUGUGAAAUCCCGGGGCUCAACCCCGGAACUGCAUCCGAUACUGCCAUGCUAGAGGAUUGGAGAGGUAGCUGGAAUUCACGGUGUAGCAGUGAAAUGCGUAGAUAUCGUGAGGAACACUCGUGGCGAAAGCGAGCUACUGGACAAUUCCUGACGCUGAGGCUCGAAGGCUAGGGUAGCGAAAGGG